UCAAGGCAGACUCGGGUCAGCGGGACGUCCAGGAACAGUGUCUACCUACUGUGCCAAUUCCCUCUGCUUUGAAAACAUAAAGCAGCUCCUCCAGGUGUCCAGCUCUGAAUGUCAUUUCACCAACCAUAAACUGACAUCUGGCUGUAAUGUAUCCUAGAAUCACUGAGCGCCAGAGAACAGCGAGUUCAGAUCUCCUCUGUGGUUAAAUGCUGUACUGUACAUAAAGUCAAGCCAGUGACAGUUUUUCUCCCUCUCUUUUUUUUUUUGCAUCAAGCCAGGAACUUUGGUGUCUUUCUCAGCAGCGGCGCAUUAGAAGUUCUGACAUGUGCUGACUCUGGCACGGCGCUAUCGAUUCGCUGAGCAACAGAAUUGAGUCUUAGACGCAGGCCUCAGGGGAGCCUGGCAAAGUAAUCCUGGAAAACUGGGUUUCUGUGAAAAUCGAAUCAUUUGCAUAUUGAAUUGGGUAAUGAGUUUUCGGAGGCGUCUUCGUCCUCUAAAUGACAGGAGUCCUGUGAAGGGGCUCGAGGAGAAGCCCUGGC
rnacentral:lncRNA from 8 species